UGAGGAAUUUUGCGCAAUGGGGGAAACCCUGACGCAGCAACGCCGUGUGAGUGAAGAAGGCCUUCGGGUCGUAAAGCUCUGUCAAGGGGGAAAAAAUUCUCUCGAUUAAUAGUCGGGAAGGACUGAUGGUACCCCUAAAGGAAGCACCGGCUAACUCCGUGCCAGCAGCCGCGGUAAUACGGAGGGUGCAAGCGUUGUUCGGAAUUACUGGGCGUAAAGAGCGUGUAGGCGGUUUGGCAAGUCAGAUGUGAAAGCCCUGGGCUCAACCCAGGAAGUGCAUUUGAAACUGCUUUACUAGAGUAUGAGAGAGGAGAGUGGAAUUCCCAGUGUAGAGGUGAAAUUCGUAGAUAUUGGGAGGAACACCCGUGGCGAAGGCGACUCUCUGGAUCAAUACUGACGCUGAGACGCGAAAGCGUGGGGAGCAAACAGG
rnacentral:rRNA from 1 species